rnacentral:sRNA from 1 species
GCAGCGUUAAAUCCCUGCAGGUUCCUCAUUCUCAGCUUGUGUUGUGAGUUUCAGUGUUGUGGGCUAAUGUGGGUUUGCGUUUUUGGUCUUGGUUUUCCCAGUGGCCAGUCCAUCAGCCACUGCACUGGGGGCCAGGUAGAGGCCAACUGCACCAUGCCUGCCAGAGUAGGAAUACUGGUAGGCCCCAGGCUCUGCUGCCCCUUCCAUGUCGUUGUGUAAGCAUCCAUGGACAAAGCUGACUCACAGGGUGUGCACAGCUGCAGGGAGGCCAGGAAACAGGGGUUUUAUUCUAGAGGGCCUUUGCUCAGUGACAGAUCAGAGUCCCAUCACUGAGAGAGCAGGGCUGGGGCAGCACAAAGGACUGGAGAGUGUUUGCCAUGAUGCCAUGUGCACAGCCAGUGCAAGUCUCUCAUUGUAGCUGUGGUCAGAGGUCAUGAGACACUGCCUUCAGCAGCCCUGGGAGCCCACCUGGUGUGUGCUUAGAGCUGUGCAUCUGCAGAUUUCAGAAGGACUUACGUUUGGUGAGGUGCUUUGAAGUAACACUUCACAAAUACCAAGAAGCAAGAAAUACACAAAUAAGCAGGUGUCCCUGGCCAGUGUCCUUCCACCUGUCCACAAGCAUGGGGAACAUCUUCGCCAACCUCUUCAAGGGCCUUUUUGGCAAAAAAGAAAUGCGCAUCCUCAUGGUGGGCUUGGAUGCUGCAGGGAAGACCACGAUCCUGUACAAGCUUAAGCUGGGUGAGAUCGUGACCACCAUUCCCACCAUAGGUGAGGUGGGGGCCAGCAGGGAGUGGGCUGGGCUGGGCUGGGCCAAGGUACAAGGCCUCACCCUGCAUCCCGCACCCAGGCUUCAACGUGGAAACUGUGGAGUACAAGAACAUCAGCUUCACUGUGUGGGACGUGGGUGGCCAGGACAAGAUCCGGCCCCUGUGGCGCCACUACUUCCAGAACACACAAGG